UACGAAGGGGGCUAGCGUUGCUCGGAAUCACUGGGCGUAAAGGGUGCGUAGGCGGGUUUUUAAGUCAGAGGUGAAAUCCUGGAGCUCAACUCCAGAACUGCCUUUGAUACUGGAAGUCUUGAGUAUGGGAGAGGUGAGUGGAACUGCGAGUGUAGAGGUGAAAUUCGUAGAUAUUCGCAAGAACACCAGUGGCGAAGGCGGCUCACUGGCCCAUUACUGACGCUGAGGCACGAAAGCGUGGGGGAGCAAACAGG
rnacentral:rRNA from 1 species